UACGGGGGGGGCAAGCGUUGUUCGGAAUUACUGGGCGUAAAGGGCGCGUAGGCGGCCUGCUAAGUCGGAUGUGAAAUCCCUCGGCUCAACCGAGGAACUGCAUCCGAUACUAGCGGGCUUGAAUCCGGGAGAGGGAUGUGGAAUUCCAGGUGUAGCGGUGAAAUGCGUAGAUAUCUGGAGGAACACCGGUGGCGAAGGCGGCAUCCUGGACCGGUAUUGACGCUGAGGCGCGAAAGCUAGGGGAGCAAACGGG
rnacentral:rRNA from 1 species